rnacentral:rRNA from 1 species
AAGCGCUUGCAAUCAGACUUGCGCGCGGCCGAUCAUCCGGGGUUCUCCCCGGUGCACUCGGCCGUGCUCAGGCCAGCAUCGGUUUCGGUGGUGGGAUAAAGGCCUUGGGAAUGUGGCUCCUUUCGGGGAGUGUUAUAGCCCUCGGUGCAAUGCCGCCUAUCGGGACCGAGGACCGCGCUUCGGCUAGGAUGCUGGCGUAAUGGUUGCAAGCGA